CGUGCUCCUAAGGGUUGCGGCCCCUCCGCCUUAGGGCGCCUGCUCGGACCAGUCCCCGUUACUGGCCGAACCCCUCGGACGCCACCGGGCACCGGAGACGCGACCCCUGGACAACCCAACGAGCUGCACAUGUACCCUCCCAACAGUGUGAGGGCACCAGCACUGUGGGUCAGUAAACCUCUCUGUUCAUCAUUUCUCUUGAGCCUCGUCCCUGGACAUCCUGUUCUCCUGGUCAACAUCUAUCUUCCAUAUCUUACUGAAGCUCUCCACGCAGAGUGAAGAGGUUUCACUGCGGAUUCUGGUGGAGGAAGAGGACCCUAGGAGGCAGAUCUAGCCCAGAGGCCCUGCAUCAUCAAGCUGCCUGCUGUUACAAGGCCCUUUGGGGCCUGGCUCACCAACUGCUGUAAGCUGGAGUCAGCUCCCAGGCUUCUGCCUGAACUUACCUGGCUUCUGUCACCCUCUAAAGUCCCCCAGCACUUUCUGCACUGUGACCACAGAAGCUGAGGAGCUUAACAAGGAUCUCAAUGCGUUUCUUCAUUACUGGAAAAGCUAUUGGUGUUGACAUGUAGGAACAUCCAUUUUAAUUAUGGCAAAGGGCCUCCUUAUUAAUUAUUUAGAUUCAAGAGAAUAUAAUACAUUGAAAA